ensembl:lncRNA
UGAAAAUGUAAUUUAAUCAGAAGCCACUGCCAGAUUUCUGGAUAGGGCUGCGCUCAGAGUAUCCUGCCUUGGCAAAUCCUGCUGUUAAGACACUGAAGCCCUUUUAUAUUAUUUGUGCACAUACAGUGGGGCAAAAAAGUAUUUAGUCAGCCACCAAUCGUGCAAGUUCUCCCACUUAAAAAGACGAGGCCUGUAAUUUUCAUCAUAGGUACACUUCAACUAUGACAGACAAAAUUAGAAAAAAAAUCCAGAAAAUCACAUUGUAGGAUUUUUAAUGAAUUCAUUUGCAAAUUAUGGUGGAAAAUAAGUAUUUGGUCACCUACAAACAAGCAAGAUUUCUGGCUCUCACAGACCUGUAACUUCUUCUUUAAGAGGCUCCUCUGUCCUCCACUCGUUACCUGUAUUAAUUUUUUUGCCCCACUGUACCUAUGUGAGAGUGGAUUCUCGGCCCUCAUUAGCAUGAAAACUAAAUAGAGACACAGACUGUGUGUGGAAAAUGAUUUAAGACAGACUCUCCAAUACAACCCAACAUUAAUAUGUGGUGAGCUAUUCACCAUUUUCAAUGAACAAAUAGGGUUUUAUAUGUAAGAUGGUUAAAUAAAGAGUUAAAUUGAUUAUUAUUAUUUGUGCCCUGGUCUGAUAAGAGCUCUUUUCUCACUUCCCACGAGUCGGGUUGUGACGAAUUCAGGUUGAAUAGAGGGGGUACUCAGCUGGAGGUUGAAUAGAGGGGGUAGGCAGCUGGAGGUUGAAUAGAGGGGGUAGGCAGCUGGAGAUUGAAUAGAGGGGGUAGGCAGUGGAGAACCUGUCAGAGCAGGGUUGGAGGAGAGGACCUCUGCUGUUCUGUGUCUCUACUGGUCCUAGUGGAGAACCUGUCAGAGCAGGGUUGGAGGAGAGGACCACUGCUGUUCUGUGUCUCUACUGGUCCUAGUGGAGAACCUGUCAGAGCAGGGUUGGAGGAGAGGACCACUGCUGUUCUGUGUCUCUACUGGUCCUAGUGGAGAACCUGUCAGACCACUGCUGUUCUGUGUCUCUACUGGUCCUAGUGGAGAACCUGUCAGAGCAGGAAAUCAUGAGGAAGAGCUCCUAGCCCUGUUUAUACCUGGUUCUAACUUGCAUCCUUUGUCCUGAUCUUGUCCACAUUUUUAGACCCGGUGAAGACAGUCAGAUCAUCCUGCCCCCCUCUGGAGGUCGUCAGAUGCAUCUUUAGACAGAUCAGAACAUUAUGCAGC